rnacentral:rRNA from 1 species
UACGAAGGGGGCUAGCGUUUGUUCGGAUUUACUGGGCGUAAAAGCGCACGUAGGCGGAUCGAUCAGUCAGGGGUGAAAUCCCAGAGCUCAACUCUGGAACUGCCUUUGAUACUGUCGAUCUGGAGUAUGGAAGAGGUGAGUGGAAUUCCGAGUGUAGAGGUGAAAUUUCGUAGAUAUUCGGAGGAACACCAGUGGCGAAAGGCGGCUCACUGGUCCAUUACUGACGCUGAGGUGCGAAAGCGUGGGGGAGCAAACAGG